rnacentral:rRNA from 1 species
AGCGGCGGACGGCUGAGUAACGCGUGGGAACAUACCCCAAAGUGAGGAAUAACUGCCCGAAAGGGUAGCUAAUGCCGCAUAUGGUCUUCGGAUUAAAGGAUUUAUCCGCUUUGGGAAUGGCCUGCGUACGAUUAGAUUGUUGGUGGGGUAAUGGCCUACCAAGUCGACGAUCGUUAACUGGUUUGAGAGGAUGAUCAGUCAGACUGGAACUGAGACACGGUCCAGACUCC